CCCGUAUUCGAAGCCUGGCCAGACAACCUGGCAACGUUGUAAAACCCAUUCUUCCACCUUCCCCUCUCUCACCUGUUACCUGUCCAACGUCCCCACCGUACGAACACCUAUGAUUGUCUCUGUUUAACCAGUACGAAAAAUCUGUUCCUCCUCGUUCGUCGUUGCCCGCGGACAAUCAGGUAAACGUAAACCCAGGCCUGGUGUACCGUCACUUCACGCUCGGUUCUUGAAUCAGUCGAGGCAACGCCGUCGAGACGCGUGCUGCUUCCACCUUUCUUCGAUCGAUCGAUCGCCGAUCGCGAGUAGGUACGACGUAGUUUCGAUUCGUGACGAUUUCGAGCGAGUUUGGAAGUUUAAAGACGACGGGAUCUUUGGGAUUUGGUUCGUGACAUAGGAAGUGCGGCUUUGCUGAGCUUGAGAAAUCGGCUCAGGGAUUCUGAGAAAAUCUAAAAAAGCCACAGGAGCUAGGAAAAAGAGAUCAUGGAAUCCUGGUUGAGCGACGUGCAGCGCGUACGAAUUCCACGGCCGAAAUUCGGUAGCGGGAACUCGGUGAGACGGUCGAAUUCCACGGUACAGCACGUGCGACCGGAAGUGCUCUCGCGGCAGACCCAGGACGUGGCUAAGGCCACAGAAGAGUUACGACAGGCUCUCCAGGACAAGCUCUGACUGGCCGAUCAUCGAUGAGGAACCAGCAAAAAUUGAUCGAGCAAAACACAUUCGAGUUCGAGAGUCACCGUUGUAUAAGAUUCUGUACCAGACCGUCGCUUUGUCGCCUGUCCACUUUCUUCCGCCAUAACCAGAGAACGAAUCGUUGUUUCGUGUUAUUUCGUGACAUGUUCCGUUCCAGACUCGCGGCAAAGCCAUUCUUGCGAAAAGGACAAUAGAACUCGACGCUCGAGGAUGAAUGUUGCCGGACUUCCGGAUUUCGCCGAGUGAUGAUGA